AGCAGCCGCGGUAAUUCCAGCUCCAAUAGCGUAUAUUAAAGUUGUUGCAGUUAAAAAGCUCGUAGUUGAAUUUCAGGCCUGGCUGGACGGUCCGCCCUUCGGGUGAGUACUGUCUGUGGUCGGGUCCUACCUUCUGGCGAAGCGUCACGGCCUUAACCGGCCGUGGCGGGGAACCAGGACUUUUACUGUGAAAAAUUAGAGUGUUCAAAGCAGGCAAUCGCUUGGAUACAUUAGCAUGGAAUAAUGGAAUAGGACAAUGGUUCUAUUUGUUGGUUUCUAGGACCGUUGUAAUGAUUAAUAGGGAUAGUUGGGGGCAUUAGUAUUCAAUUGUCAGAGGUGAAAUUCUUGGAUUUAUUGAAGACUAACUACUGCGAAAGCAUUUGCCAAGGAUGUUUUCAUUAAUCAAGAACGAAAGUUAGGGGAUCGAAGACGAUCAGAUACCGUCGUAGUCUUAACCAUAAACUAUGCCGACUAGGAAUCGGGCGAUGUUGAAAAUGACGC
rnacentral:rRNA from 1 species